AUUGAACGCUGGCGGCAGGCUUCACACAUGCAAGUCGAGCGCGCGGCGGACGGGUGAGUAAUGUCUGGGAAACUGCCUGAUGGAGGGGGAUAACUACUGGAAACGGUAGCUAAUACCGCAUAACAUCAGAUGUGCCCAGAUGGGAUUAGCUAGUAGGUGGGGUAAUGGCUCACCAAGGCACCGCUCCCUAUCUGGUCUGAGAGGAUGACCAGCAAAACUGGAACUGAGACACGGUCCAGACUCCUACGGGGAGCAGCAGUGGGGAAUAUUGCACAAUGGGCGCAAGCCUGAGGCAGCCAUGCCGCGUGUGUGAAGAAGGCCUUCGGGUUGUAAAGCACUUUCAGCGAGGAGGCGUUACGCGCAUAAGAAGCACCGGCUAACUCCGUGCCAGCAGCCGCGGUAAUAC
rnacentral:rRNA from 1 species